rnacentral:rRNA from 1 species
AGUGAACGCUGGCGGUAGGCCUAACACAUGCAAGUCGAACGGCAGCACAGUAAGAGCUUGCUCUUACGGGUGGCGAGUGGCGGACGGGUGAGGAAUACAUCGGAAUCUACUUUUUCGUGGGGGAUAACGUAGGGAAACUUACGCUAAUACCGCAUACCACCUACGGGUGAAAGCAUGGGAUCUUCGGACCUUGCGCGGUUGAAUGAGCCGCUGUCGGAUUAGCUGGUUGGCGGGGUAAAGGCCCACCAAGGCGAGGAUGCGUAGCUGGUCUGAGAGGAGGAUCAGCCACACUGGAACUGAGACACGGUCCAGACUCCUACGGGAGGCAGCAGUGGGGAAUAUUGGACAAUGGGCGCAAGCCUGAUCCAGCCAUACCGCGUGGGUGAAGAAGGCCUUCGGGUUGUAAAGCCCUUUUGUUGGGAAAGAAAAGCAGCAGGUUAAGACCCCGCUGUUCUGACGGUACCCAAAGAAUAAGCACCGGCUAACUUCGUG